UGAGGAAUAUUGGUCAAUGGACGAGAGUCUGAACCAGCCAAGUAGCGUGCAGGACGACGGCCCUAUGGGUUGUAAACUGCUUUUGUACGGGGAUAAAGUGAGCCACGUGUGGUUUAUUGCAGGUACCGUACGAAUAAGGACCGGCUAAUUCCGUGCCAGCAGCCGCGGUAAUACGGAAGGUCCGGGCGUUAUCCGGAUUCAUUGGGUUUAAAGGGAGCGUAGGCCGCCCCUUAAGCGUGUUGUGAAAUGCCGCGGCUCAACCGUGGCACUGCAGCGCGAACUGGGGGGCUUGAGUGCGCGCAGCGAAGGCGGAAUUCGUGGUGUAGCGGUGAAAUGCUUAGAUAUCACGCAGAACCCCGAUUGCGAAGGCAGCUUUCCAGCACACGACUGACGCUGAGGCGCGAAAGCGUGGGUAUCGAACAGGAUUAGAUACCCUGGGUAGU
rnacentral:rRNA from 1 species